rnacentral:lncRNA from 1 species
CGUUGGAUAUUAUUGAUUGGUCGUGGAAAGAAGAUAACAAUAAUGACAUCCUCAAGUGAGAAACGUCCAGUUGUAAUACGCUAGGAAGGGAGGACAGGCUCCUUGUUUACCGGGUCGAUUUAUGUUACGAGGGGGAGCCCAACGUUUUGGACCCUUGCGUCUUCGAUGAAUCAUAGAAUGAAGAAAUAGCUGUAUGAUGCAGUGUAUUUAAAAAACAAAUCUCCAUACUGUCCUUGCUGUUUACAACAUUGUGUAUUUUCGCGACAUUGUAUCUCAAGAUUUGCAAAAAUAAAGGUGAUAAUAUGGCCAUUUCAGUGACAACAUGUGAUGACGAAUCUCAUUUAGCUUCAUUUCUCGUGUUCGUGAAAAGCGGUCUAUAACCAGCACGUUAUCGAUUUCAGCUUCUGUUUAAGGUGAAGGCCGUACCUGACUGACGCGCUAGAUUAAGUGUGUAGGCGAGAGAAUUAGAAGGCAAAGCACCAGACAUGCCAUACAUCUUCACGGUACAUCAGAACCAUGAUGACAUUUAUUGAUUUGGCGACACGUGGAUCUUCCUUUGGUAGAAGAACACGUCUGGUCCAACCCAGUCGUAUUAUCGGUCAUCAGAUUAGCUUCAACAGACACUUCGCUUCCCGAUAACACGUUUUUCAUCCUAUUUUUGCUUUAUACAAGUUCACCUUGCUUCCAAGCCCUUGUAGUUACAUAUUGCUAUUUUUUUGCCUGUGUACCCUCAUUCAAUACUGCUUUUGUUUUGAUGUGUGGAUGUGAAAGUACGAGAAUGUGUUAUAUUUUUAUGUGUAAAAUAAACU